GGCAAGUUGAGCUCUCUGGCCCACAUGGCUUCUGAAGCUAAGAACUUGGGGACAAUGCUUUCUGGAAGCAUUUCUUGGCCAUGCUGGACUGUAACCUUGUUCCUGGUGUGAGCAUUCAUGGAUGCAUCAGGCAAAAGCCCUUGAUUCUGCCAGAAAGAUGAGCAAUAACAGCAAUAAGAGAGCUCCAACAACAGCAACACAAAGGUUGAAGCAGGACUACCUUCGAAUUAAGAAAGACCCAGUGCCUUACAUCUGUGCAGAGCCCCUCCCUUCAAAUAUUCUUGAAUGGCAUUAUGUUGUCCGAGGCCCUGGGAUGACUCCUUAUGAAGGUGGCUAUUAUCAUGGAAAACUAAUUUUUCCCAGAGAAUUUCCAUUUAAGCCUCCUAGUAUUUACAUGAUAACCCCCAAUGGAAGAUUUAGGUGCAACACAAGGCUGUGUCUCUCCAUCACAGAUUUCCACCCAGAUACAUGGAAUCCAGUGUGGUCCGUCUCCACCAUUCUAACAGGGCUCCUGAGCUUUAUGGGGGAGAAAGGCCCCACCGUGGGGAGCAUAGAGACAUCGGACUUCACGAAAAAAGAGCUGGCAGCACAGAGUCUAGUGUUUAAUUUAAAAGAUAAAGUCUUUUGUGAAUUAUUUCCUGAAGUUGUGGAGGAAAUUAAACAGAAACAGAAAGCACAAGAUGAACUAAGUAACAGGCCCCAGAAUCUUCCUUUGCCAGACAUGGUUCCUGACAGGGAGUUGCACCGUGGCCAGCAUGGGGUCCAGCUCCUCAAUGGGCACGCACCUGCUGCUGGCCCGAACCUCUCUGGGUUCCCACAGGCCAACAGGCAUCAUGGACUCCUGGGCAACGUUUUGGCGAACUUGUUUGUUAUAGUUGGGUUUGCAGCCUUUGCCUACACGGUCAAGUACAUGCUGAGAAGCAUAGCACAGGAGUGAGGUUCACAAGCCACAACCUACAGUUGCUGCUGAGGGACACAGGGGCCAGAGCUUGAUGCAGGCGUGAUGGACAUGCUGCUGAGCACAGGGUG